rnacentral:rRNA from 1 species
AUGGCCGCCCCUGGGAGGGCUGUUCUGGUCAAAGCGGUUCUCACUGCCAUCGCUAUCUACAGCAUUACUUCGCUGGUCUUGCCGGCCGAGGUGAUGAAGCGUAUUGAUGCCUUGCAACGUGCAUUUCUCUGGGCAGGUUGCGACAAAGUCACUGGGGCCAGGUGUAAAAUCAAUUGGGAGCAUGUCUGC